rnacentral:lncRNA from 1 species
GGAGGAGAUGCCAGGGUCCAUUUGGGACAUAGUAGGAGUGAGAGGCUGGGGGGCACCUAGGGCAAGGUGUCCAGGAAGCCAGGGAACCCCGGAUCUGAGGGCAGAGAGAUGGUAUCAUGAGUGACGAGGCAGAGGUCAUUGGCAUGGAUGAGACAGGUAACCCCAGGAAAGUGGAAAGAGAAAGCAGAGAGGCCCUGGACAGAGUCCCAGAGACCUGCCAGUCUGGAGCUGGGCUGAGGGGAGGCUUCGAGGAAGGAGACAGAGGUUGCUGGAGAGGUGGGCAGAGUGUCUGAGGCCUCGAGCAGG